GCAAAGCUGGCGGCGUGCCUAAUACAUGCAAGUCGAGCGGAGAAAUGGGAGCUUGCUCCCAUUUCUCAGCGGCGGACGGGUGAGUAACACGUGGGCAACCUGCCCUACAGACUGGGAUAACUCCGGGAAACCGGAGCUAAUACCGGGUAAUACAUAGCAUCGCAUGAUGCAACGUUGAAAGUUGGCCUNUGGCUAACACUGUAGGAUGGGCCCGCGGCGCAUUAGCUAGUUGGUAAGGUAACGGCUUACCAAGGCCACGAUGCGUAGCCGACCUGAGAGGGUGAUCGGCCACACUGGGACUGAGACACGGCCCAGACUCCUACGGGAGGCAGCAGUAGGGAAUCUUCCGCAAUGGACGAAAGUCUGACGGAGCAACGCCGCGUGAGUGACGAAGGCCUUCGGGUCGUAAAGCUCUGUUGUUAGGGAAGAACAAGUACCGUUCGAAUAGGGCGGUACCUUGACGGUACCUAACCAGAAAGCCACGGCUAACUACGUGCCAGCAGCCGCGGUAAUACGUAGGUGGCAAGCGUUGUCCGGAAUUAUUGGGCGUAAAGCGCGCGCAGGCGGUCUCUUAAGUCUGAUGUGAAAGCCCACGGCUCAACCGUGGAGGGCCAUUGGAAACUGGGGGACUUGAGUGCAGAAGAAGAGAGUGGAAUUCCACGUGUAGCGGUGAAAUGCGUAGAUAUGUGGAGGAACACCAGUGGCGAA
rnacentral:rRNA from 1 species